rnacentral:rRNA from 1 species
UACGAAGGGGGCUAGCGUUGUUCGGAAUACUGGGCGUAAAGCGUGCGCAGGCGGCUUCUCAAGUCAGGGGUGAAAGCCCAGAGCUCAACUCUGGAAUUGCCUUUGAGACUGAGUGGCUUGAGUACGAGAGAGGUGAGUGGAAUUCCCAGUGUAGAGGUGAAAUUCGUAGGAUAUUGGGAAGAACACCGGUGGGCGAAGGCGGUUCUCUGGGCCUUACCUGACGCUGAGGAGCGAAAGCGUGGGGAGCGAACAGG